AACAUAGCCAUGAGUAAUGAUUUAUCGUCGAUAAUAAUAAUUAUUAUUUUCCGAUGUAUGACCGUCAUUGUUUGGUGUGUCGAAACGUAUGUAGCAAGUAGUCGACUAGUCUUAGAUAUGAGUAUUACAUUGUCAAUGAAUAGAUCGUAAAACGAAAAAAUUCUUAAGCGGUUUGUUUUCGUGUUCGUACCUACAUGAUGUUGCGCAAUGCACAAGACAAAUGCGAUUUUGUUUGUUUGUAUUUACCGCGAUAGCUUUGAACAAUUGAACGUCGUGAUGGCAGGCUUCCGGUCAGUCGUAGGAUUCGUAUAACUAGUAGUUUAAGUCCGUGAUUCGGAAAACAUAAUCAGAAAAAAAUCUUAUAUUUCAAAGAAUGCGCCGAGUAAUGUAUUUUACAGAACAGCAGCGGCAUCUAGCGUAAAACGUUCUAAGUAUAAAAAAUAACGACGAGACAUUAUUUUCAAGCGGACAUCGCGAUUGUACUUAGGCGGAAUAAUGCACGUCUGAACACUACACAUUUUAACACUAUGGUCGGUGUUUUAUAAAAACCGUCGGACUCGUCGUGUUCGAAAUGGGAAAAUAAGUUAUCCUGAAAAUAAUAAAACGACGACGCCGUCGUAAACGUAGGAGUCUCAAAACAACAUUCAUGUAUGAGUCGUCUACAGCAACUUGUAGUUAUCGAGAAACGAAGCAUAGAACGCUCACCGAGUCUCUAGGAAUAUCUAGAGGUGGUGGCGCCAUAGUUAUAACCAGCCGGUCUGAUCUGAGCCGAAUAAAGUGGAAUUUCGCACACCGGAAAUGCUGGAUGAUCGGUCAUGUGUCAGCUGCAGCUGUUCGCGCUGUACAUUAUGUUGGAACAGGAGAAAUAUUAUUAUGUAUUUUCACACUUCUCCGUCCUAAAGCGGACGCACAUGGAGUUUUUAAGCGACCAGAGUACUCGUAGUGGCUUACGGUUAUCAGCAUCUUCACAUUAUCUACAGCGAAACUCGAUUAUGAUGUUGUAUACAACCAGCUCGAGAGCGGAACUUGCGAUGAUCACGUGAACCAUUGAUGAGAUGAUUGAAAAUAUAAAAACAUACCGUCGUGUACUCGAGUGUCGCAACACAAAAGUCAUAUUUAUUUUGUUGUUCUCGUUCGUCAUUCAUUAUUCCGUCAUUAUAUUAUAUUUCAUUACAUUUUAUUAUCAUCAGCCAAACGGAAUGAUUUUCAACGUCCCGGAGCGUCCUGAAAUUUACAUACAGUCGAAUACCGUCACGGAGGUCCGAAGUCUUAUGAAAAUGUAUCCUUUUUGGGAGCCGUUAAAUUCUACUGCGACGAUGCAAUAUGUUGUCGUGUCAUUAUAGUAAUACUAAUUGUACCAUCGAGUAACACCAUAAUAAUAUGUUAUAUACAUUGGUAUACGUUUGAAAUACAUAAUGUGCGCUCAAAAUGUGUAAAGACCUGUCACCGAACUCUCAUAAUAUUAUAAUUAAUAUAUUACUACAGUAUCUUGUUUAAUAUUACGGCGGUCCGCGGGUGGAGGGUGAUUACAUUUGUUUUAAUUAUUUUGCACCCCAAAACAAAUUGUCAUUCUUAAAUGUAUUUCAAAACCAAAAUGUUAACUACUUUAUUUUUAAAAUUUCACUACGCAAUUAUUCAAUAAAUACACAGGUAGUAAAAGUCUAAAAUUCAAACACGAGUCUCUAAUGACUACUCCUCAUUCUCUUCUUGCUGUGAAAUACAUCACUGGUUUAUUAGAUUACCCAUUUAUAUGUAUUGUACGAAGAAAAUACGAUACACGACGGUUAUUGUUUGCAUAUAAAUGCAGUUAAUUGGUAUGAAACGUUUGCCUUGGAUGUAGGUACAAUUUAUUUAGCGAAACGGUAUUUAUGCCGAUUAUAACAAUAAUAUUAUUAAGACGUAACCAUUGUCAUUGCAUUACGUAUACAUAAACCAUUUUGCAAUGAAAAUACGCGAAUAAUACUUAAUAAUAAUAUUAUGAUGGAAACGGUAUUUUCUCUGGAGCGGCCUUAGGUUUUGUGGCGCCCAGGACAAAUUUAUUUAUCGUGGACUCUGUUUACGACAAGAACAUUCGUACGAGAAUCCCAGUAUUUUUAUUAUAUUGUUUUGUACGAAAUUUCAUUUUAUAUUCUAGUUUCAUACUCAAUUAUUGUAUAAUAAUAUGCAGUAUAACUAUAAUCAGUUUGAUAUUAUUCGG